GAGUGAACGCUGGCGGUAGGCCUAACACAUGCAAGUCGAACGGCAGCACAGUAAGAGCUUGCUCUUACGGGUGGCGAGUGGCGGACGGGUGAGGAAUACAUCGGAAUCUACUUUUUCGUGGGGGAUAACGUAGGGAAACUUACGCUAAUACCGCAUACGACCUACGGGUGGAAGCAGGGGAUCUUCGGACCUUGCGCGAUUGAAUGAGCCGAUGUCGGAUUAGCUAGUUGGCGGGGUAAAGGCCCACCAAGGCGACGAUCCGUAGCUGGUCUGAGAGGAUGAUCAGCCACACUGGAACUGAGACACGGUCCAGACUCCUACGGGAGGCAGCAGUGGGGAAUAUUGGACAAUGGGCGCAAGCCUGAUCCAGCCAUACCGCGUGGGUGAAGAAGGCCUUCGGGUUGUAAAGCCCUUUUGUUGGGAAAGAAAAGCAGCAGGUUAAUACCCCGCUGUUCUGACGGUACCCAAAGAAUAAGCACCGGCUAACUUCGU
rnacentral:rRNA from 1 species